GUCAAGCUACAAAGGGCUCACGGCGGAUACCUUGGCACACAGAGGCGAUGAAGGACGUGGUUACCUGCGAUAAGUCUCGGGGAGCUGGAAACACGCUUUGAUCCGGGAAUUUCCGAAUGGGGCAACCCCUAGAACGGCCAGCUGAAUCUAUAGGCUGGCGCGAGCCAACCCAGCGAACUGAAACAUCUUAGUAGCUGGAGGAAAGGAAAGUAAAAACGACUCCCUAAGUAGCGGCGAGCGAACGGGGAAGAGCCUAAACCAAUGGUUUCGACCAUUGGGGUUGUGGGACAGCAAUGUGGAUCAGGAAUGUUAGUGGAAGUGUUUGAAAGACACGCCACAGAGGGUGAAAGCCCCGUACACGAAAACUGAACUGACCUAGCUGUAUCCCGAGUAGCACGGAGCACGUGGAAUUCCGUGUGAAUCAGCGAGGACCACCUCGUAAGGCUAAGUACUCCUGUGUGACCGAUAGCGAAACAGUACCGCGAGGGAAAGGUGAAAAGAACCCCGGGAGGGGAGUGAAAUAGAACAUGAAACCGUGAGCCUACAAGCAAUGGGAGCCCUACUAAUAGGGUGACCGUGUGCCUGUUGAAGAAUGAGCCGGCGACUUAUAGGCACUGGCGGGUUAAACCGGAAAUGGUGGAGCCAUAGCGAAAGCGAGUCUGAAUAGGGCGUU
rnacentral:rRNA from 1 species